GACGAACGCUGGCGGCGUGCUUAACACAUGCAAGUCGAACGGUGAAGGGAUCAGCUUGCUGGUUCUGGAUGAGUGGCGAACGGGUGAGUAACACGUGAGUAACCUGCCCCCUUCUUCUGGAUAACCGCAUGGAAGUGUGGCUAAUACGGGAUAUUCUGCGCCUGCUGCAUGGUGGGUGUGGGAAAGAUAUUGUUUCGGUGGGGGAUGGGCUCGCGGCCUAUCAGCUUGUUGGUGGGGUGAUGGCCUACCAAGGCGGUGACGGGUAGCCGGCCUGAGAGGGUGGACGGUCACACUGGGACUGAGACACGGCCCAGACUCCUACGGGAGGCAGCAGUGGGGAAUAUUGCACAAUGGGCGCAAGCCUGAUGCAGCGACGCCGCGUGAGGGAGGGAGGCCUUCGGGUUGUGAACCUCUUUCGCCAGUGAAGCAGGCCUGUCCCUUGUGGGUGGGUUGACGGUAGCUGGAUAAGAAGCGCCGGCUAACUACGUG
rnacentral:rRNA from 1 species